GGGGAUGUAGCUUAGUGGUACAAUUCUUACCUAUUAUGUAAAAAGUCCUGGGGUCAACCCCAACAACCCCC
rnacentral:tRNA from 1 species